UUAAACACUGCCUUUAUGCAGUGCUCAAACGGGGUAUACUAAGAACCAGGCUAGCAGCUUGUCAGUGCUCGUUACUGUACAGCAGCGUUGUUGUCGGUCCGCUCUACCUCCAUAGCACGUUGUCUGCAGGACAUGGGAUAGGACCAACAUUUACAGUCUUUUUAAAGUUAUAAUUACUACAUCCCCGGACAGCACAGCUCCAAUCUGUCCAGAACUGAAAUACGUAAUUCACAAUGGACACCAGCUGUGAGAGUAGCGGCAGGCCUACUCAUCCAGCGGGUUUCUUUGCAGACGAAUCUGACUUGAGUGAACGAUUCCCCGGACACGACAGCAUCGAUUUCCCGGUCGCGGUGGUUCUACCAGCAGGUGGAUCUGGAGAAAGGAUGGGGUUGGCGACCCCCAAACAGUUCUGCACUGUCUUCAACAGACCUUUGAUAAGCUACACAAUUCAAGCGUUUGAGAGAAUAUCCUGGAUUGAAAACAUCGUGGUUGUUGUAGCAAAAGAAAGCCUUCAUCUUAUGAUGGACAUCAUUCACAAGUUCUGUCACAAGAAGGUAAAGGUGCUUCUUGGUGGAUCAUCUAGACACCGGUCUAUUUUUAAUGGACUCCAAGCCUUUGGAGAGAUGCCAGAUGGAAAGUCACUGAGGAAGCCAAAAGUGGUCAUUAUCCAUGAUGCAGUCAGGCCUUUUGUUGAGGAAGAUUUCCUUCUUAGGAUAACUAUUGCUGCUAAGGAACAAGGGGCGUCUGGAGCUAUACGGCCUCUUGUUUCCACGGUAAUAGCUACGACGUCAGAAGGCUACAUAGACCACUCUCUGGAAAGGGCUAAAUACAGAGCAAGCGAGAUGCCACAAGGAUUUGUAUAUGACAUCAUCUACCAGGCUUAUCAGCAGUGCAGUGAGUCCGACUUUGAGUUUGGGACUGAGUGCCUGCACCUGGCUCUGCAGUACUGUGGCACCAAUGCAAAGCUCAUCGAAGGUCCCCCUGCUCUGUGGAAGGUGACUUACAAGAAAGAUCUUUUUGCUGCUGAAUCUGUAAUUAAAGACUUCCUGUCCCAGGCCUGUGUUAUCACGACUGUCUGUGCAGAGUCAGCAGAGUUGGCUCACAGGUUUCAGAAGAGCCUUGGAGCCAGGAGCAUGCAGGUGGAUGUAAUAUCGGGCUCAUUCGGGAACAACCAGCCGUUGGUUUCAAAGACCUGGAAUUUCAUCCAUAUCACUGCGAAUAUCGCGUGCUUGGCUGAGAUCAGCAGGACAGUCAAGACGCUCCACGAGGCGGGCCAAGCCCUCCUUUAUCCCGCUGUCCUGAUCUUGGUGCAUUUCAGUGUCCUGCCGCAUUCCUCCCUGACUGAAAGAAUGGGACAGUUGGGUGCCAUCAGACAUCUGGCAAUGGAAGCAAAACACAGGAAUAUUUUACUUUACGCCAUCCUGCUUAAUCACAAUGAGUGGCUGAAUUCACAUGACAUGCUGCUUUGGGAUGGACAAACAAGAUAAGCAUGAGGGAGAAAUGAGGUGAAAUGAACGUGGCUGGAAGGAUAGGAAGGACUGAGAAGGUUCACUGCCGUCACCUGUGAUGCUGCUGUGUGAGGAACGGCCACAUUUACGUGAAUGCGGAGCAGUGGGAGGAGACCGUGGAGAGCGCGUCCGAGAUCACGACGGCCCUCGUCAAGGAUAGGAACCCCGCCCUGGCAGGACAGCUCCUGGUGGCCUGAGGAGCGGAGACCUUCCAGACGAGGCCUUCAUGAACGCCGCUGUUUCGCCAUUCUGCUCGGCAAACCUUGAAAUAAGCAUGAUUGAGAUCUGUCGUCGUUGCACUGCCUCACCUGCACAUCAGUUAGGAGCGUUUGAAAGAUCCCGGCAGUUUACGUUGCUGUGUUUUAGCUUUAAUGUAAAUGCUACUUUAGGGGACAUGUUAUUACAAUUUUAAUAUGAAAUUUGUAUCAUUAAAUGGGUGCACUUCA